CACAGACUCCUACGGGAGGCAGCAGUGGGGGAUAUUGCACAAUGGGGGAAACCCUGAUGCAGCGACGCCGCGUGGGUGAAGAAGCGCCUUGGCGCGUAAAGCCCUGUCAGCAGGGAAGAAAAUGACGGUACCUGAAGAAGAAGCCCCGGCUAACUACGUGCCAGCAGCCGCGGUAAUACGUAGGGGGCAAGCGUUAUCCGGAUUUACUGGGUGUAAAGGGGGCGCAGACGGCGAUGCAAGCCAGGAGUGAAAGCCCGGGGCCCAACCCCGGGACUGCUCUUGGAACUGCGCGGCUGGAGUGCAGGAGGGGCAGGCGGAAUUCCUGGUGUAGCGGUGAAAUGCGUAGAUAUCAGGAGGAACACCGGUGGCGAAGGCGGCCUGCUGGACUGCGACUGACGUUGAGGCCCGAAAGCGUGUGGAGCAAACAGGAUUAGAUACCCGCGUA
rnacentral:rRNA from 1 species